rnacentral:lncRNA from 1 species
GUAACUACGCGAGAGCGUGCCUGCAAAUGCCCGCGUGCACAAGAAUGUGGGCCACAGUGGAACGGUACACUGGGGGAAGAAGCCACAGAGGAGGACGUGGAGCCUCAGAGGGAGUAAGUGACCUGCCCAGGCUCCCACAGUGAGCACAUGGACUGAGGGCAGCUACCCACUCUCUGCCCAGAAGCAGCAAAUCACCUCCUUUGGGCCACCCUCCAUUGAGGGCAUCCCCAGGUCAAAACCCUCCUCCUCCCUCCAGCAAAAGGGAGCCCCAGCAUCUACCUGUCUCCCCAAAGAGCCACUGCUUAUAGAGGCUACUGGUGAAGAAGACAGGGGCCUGGGUGAAGGACAUGAGGAAGUCGCUGACCGCGAGG